rnacentral:rRNA from 1 species
UCGAACGGGAUUUAGUAAACAGAAGCCUCGGUGGAAGAUUACUAAUGAGAGUGGCGAACGGGUGAGUAACGCGUGAGCAACCUGCCUAUGACAGUGGGAUAGCCUCGGGAAACCGGGAUUAAUACCGCAUAAAAUCGUAGAAACACAUGUUUCAACGGUCAAAGAUUUAUCGGUCAUAGAUGGGCUCGCGUCUGAUUAGCUAGUUGGUGAGAUAACAGCCCACCAAGGCGACGAUCAGUAGCCGGUCUGAGAGGAUGAACGGCCACAUUGGAACUGAGACACGGUCCAAACUCCUACGGGAGGCAGCAGUGGGGAAUAUUGCACAAUGGGGGAAACCCUGAUGCAGCGACGCCGCGUGAACGAAGAAGGUAUUCGUAUCGUAAAGUUCUGUCCUAUGGGAAGAUAAUGACAGUACCAUAGAAGAAAGCUCCGGCUAAAUACGUGCCAGCAGCCGCGGUAAUACGUAUGGAGCGAGCGUUGUCCGGAAUUAUUGGGCGUAAAGGGUACGCAGGCGGUUUAAUAAGUCGAAUGUUAAAGAUCGGGGCUCAACCCCGUAAAGCAUUGGAAACUGAUAAACUUGAGUAGUGGAGAGGAAAGUGGAAUUCCUAGUGUAGUGGUGAAAUACGUAGAUAUUAGGAGGAAUACC